rnacentral:misc_RNA from 1 species
UGAAGCUGGAGCCCUGCGUCA